UCAAGGGGUUGGCUCAGUACAUGAGUAGAGUCUGGAGUUUGGGGCCUGUGCCUGCCGGUGCCGUUUGAUGCUGAAAGAGAUACCACAUCUGCAAUGUGAGUACCUCCUCUUCUUUGCCAAGGCAUGUCCUCACUAGGGCUGUUCCCCCUGAUGCAGAAAAGACAUACCGCAUACCUCAAGAUGCCUUUAUGGGCCAUUGGCCCCUGGCCUGUCUUCUCUGGGAAUAUUGUGUCUGGAUGGGUGUCAUUGACCUAGCCUUGGUUUGUGAGUGCUAGAAAGGAGGAAGGGAAGAUGAGAAGGAGAAUGGAGAACACACACCUAAGAGUGUUUCCUUCAAAUUGGAAUAAGCUCCAGGGGCCCACCCACUGCUAUCGUUAUGAUGUCACAGAAAGGAACAGCCAGAGCAGGGGGAAGAAAUUCAUGAAGUCAUCUGGCCCAAAGCCCUCUUCGAUCUUCCAUACCACCAGGAUGGCAGAGGUUGGUGCAUGUUUCUGACAACUGAGCUCUUGAAUACCCGAGACCACACAGCAGCAACGCUGGGGGACGAACUCACUGAGCUGGUGCCCAGCUGCUCAUCUGGGAAGUUCUAUCGGGUUCUCACUUGUAAUCAGCAAACCCAGACUCCUCACCUUAGUGACUAUCAGACCAAGCUUCUCUUGGGAUCCUUGAAGAUGGCUGGACGUUGCAAGCGACGCUAUACGGAGAAAUCGCAUCCCAGAGUGACAACGGAGGUUUCCCUGGGAUGUGUUUUGUGCUGUUUGAGCAGGAGUGAAAGCAUGUGACUUUUUAAAGGGAAACCUCAGGAAGGGAGAGUAGAAGUGGAGACGUUGCCAUAAUGCUCAGAAGUCACGCUGAGCGGAUUUGGAGAGUCUUCCUGAAGCCUCUGCUGGGAGGGGAGAGGGAGAAGCCACCGUGGGCUUGUGUGACUUUGGACACCGUGUUCGAAGGGAAGCCGUGUGACCCUUUCCCACUCACUCCAGCCCAGCCUCACGGCAUCCAGCAGCCACCACUCGCCUCCUGAUUGCCGUACCUUUCUGCAGCCUGGAGAUUUGCAUUGUAAAUGCUGUUUGUUAGGCCCCUGAAAUAAUAUUAAUCACCGUAAAACAAUUACGUUGCAUAAUUUGUACAUAAAAAAGAAAGAGUGAACCUUUUGCUUGAA